rnacentral:lncRNA from 1 species
GCCGUCACAAUGGGCCAAAUAUUCUUUCUAUUGUCUAACUAGGCAAAAGAUCAACAAGCAUUUACAAAAUAUAGUAAUUCUUCUUUAUUUAUUCUUCCGAAGGACUAGGGAAAAUAGAUGAUGAUGGUAUAGUCCUGAAUGGACAAAUCAAGAUUUCUCUAUUUUAUAUAUCUAAUAUAGAUUAAGAUAUAUUCCCUCUAUUCAUGAAUAAGUGUACUUCUAGCUUUUGUCCUAGGUCAAAGUUUUAAAACUUUGACCAACUUUAUAGAAAAAAGUAGCAUUUAUGACACUAAAUUAAUAUCACUAGAUCUAUUUUGAAAUGUACUUCCAUAAUAUAUCAAUUUGAUGUCAUAUAUGUUAUUACUCUUUUGUAUAUAGUUGGUCAAAAUUUAAAAACUUUAACUUAAGACAAAAGUUAGAAGUACACUUAUUCGCGGACGGAGGGAGUAAUACAAUAAAGAACUAGUACAAUACAAAUAAAACAGACAGCAUAACCGAUAGGCUGUUCAAUCAUGGCUAGGCAAAUUGGAGUGCAACGUUUUGUUCACGUAUUCGGCCUGAUUACCAUAACUUCCAUUUUGAUACAAUAACAAGCAGCUAGAACACCGUGGUAGAGUGGAGUGUUUAUUAAAAAAAACAGAACUAUCAUUAAGCAGCUCAUGAUUCGGCAGGCAUACACAAUAAGGCCCAACUUACUUAGUAGGUCCAACAUCGUAAGAUAGUUCUAUUAGAGAACCUUGCACACUCGUUCCCCAUCUUCACUAUCCCAUCUUUCCCAAGGUGGAGUCGCUGAUAUUGCUCAUCUCCUCCAAAGCCUACAAUUAUGACAGGUCAGAUCUAGCACUCUAGCACCCAAUUAUGUCCUAGGAGUUCACAGCCUUUACCAGGAAAUGCGCAUUAUACAUUAUCAAUAACACAAAUCUAUUUCCCAGUAAAAAUGUCAACCAAUGUAACUUGAUGCAAACACAAAUUUGAUCACAACCUAUUACCAAGAGACAAGGCUCUCACCAGGAUGGAGAAACAAAGAAAGAGUAGCUUGUCAACAGUAGCUUCGAAUUUCUCAGAUUUUUACAAAUACCGCCAGUAAUCUGCAUGCAUAAAACCUUAAAAUAUAAGCCUGCAGACACAUUACAGUUAAUACUCCCUCUGUCUUUUCACUCUGCAUAUUAGAUCUCAUUAGGACAAGCCUUUGACCAACAAAAUAGUAGCAUAACUGUUGGCAAAAGGCUACACAUAAUUUGCAGGGUAAAAAUGCAGAGUGAGUAUAAUACAUGUGUCAUAAGUAUUGCUAAGCAUGUAACAAACAUUCCACAAAGCAACAACUAAACAUUUUCUUACAAUGUAUAGGAAGAUUGCAUCACAGGUCUGUUUUCUAGUAGUACAAAGUUAAUGCAAAGAUAAAUUUGAUCACAACCAUAUUAACAAGAACAGACAAGACUCUCGCUAGGACGGUCAAAGGGAGUAAAGUCUGUUUUCCAGUAAAAACCUAAAUGUCACCCAGUGUUACAUCUUGAUGCAUAGUCGCAUAGACAAAUUUGAUUACAACCGUAUUACCAAGAGACAAGACUCACCAGGAUGGUCAAAGGGAGUAAAAGAGUAGCUUGGUCAAACCAGAGCUGUUAUGAGCUCUUUAACUUCGGGUUUGCAGAUUUUUUUAAAUGUCACUGAUGCUCUGCAUGCACAAGACGAUAAAAUAAGCAUUGCAGCAAAUUCAAAUAUAUAUAUAUAUAUAUAUAUAUAUAUAUAUAUAUAUAUAAUAAAUGUGAUUUUAAGGACAAUACUUCUCCUGGAGAGAGUCGUUGAAGUAGUUCCUGAAUAUGAUCAACUUGGAAACAAGUAACUGGACCAAAAUGUUGAAAACCAAUGCCUACUAGUUUCCCCAAGCUAUCAAAAACAAGACCUCCAUAACAAGAGUGGAACGUUGGAGAACUAUCACAAAUAAAUUCUCUCAGGUCUGAAAAACUAAUAACAUUAGCCAUGCAUUAGAGUCCAUGAAGCAAUGCAAUUAUAAAAUAUAAACACCACAACAUUACUGAACUUACUUUACAGAGCCUUCUGUUAUUGAAUGCACAUAGUUUUUGUCAUCGAUACAUCUGAUGACAUAGAGGAAGACUCUUUCAUUUCUAGAAACAUUUGAACCAAGCGGAAUUUCAAUACAUGACUGCACUUCUGUUUUACAAGGAAGCAAAACCAAUAAUGGUGCUUUAGAGGCACUGGUAAUUAGUGUGAAGUCCUCAAAACACACAUCUUUUGUUUUAGCAGUAUUAAGAAAACGAAGUCGAAAGGAAUAGUUAUCUCGGAUGAGAUUCCCUCCAAACUACAUGACACACAUGUUUGGUUCUAACAUGAUAAUAAUGCCGGGAAUAAGUACAGGAAAAUCACUAUCAGGAUCAAGAACAGUGAGCUCAACCACCGAUCUACUGAUUUGAUCUCGAAGAUUUUGAUUAGGAACUACGAGAGGCUGAUAAAUGGGACCUAUAGGACCUGCACGAACAACAUAUAGAUUAAUAACUGAACUAGCCUACUGCAAAUCUUGCAACACGUGUAGAAGGAUAUUACCAGCAUGAACGCCCGGCUCAUUUGCAGGCAACAUCCGCCUUCUCUUGGGGACAAAGUGACGCCACAGAAGGCGAUGUUUCAUCAUCGCAAAGAUACGUAACUCUAUUAACUAAGCCUGAAGGAAUAUUUUUAUGAUAUUUUGCGUGUUAAUUGAGAAAAAUUCAUCCAUAUAUAGCAGUAAAGGAACAUCUGUCGAGUAAGAGAACAUACGCCAGAGGGAAGGAGUUCCGGGCUGGGGUCCGGCCGCCGGAUCUGGAGGGUCUGGCGUGCGGACAAUGACCUCGUAGAGUGCUAGUCGUCUUCGUCGCUGGUCGCCCGGGGUGGAGAAAGGAGUUGACGUCGAUGUACGGUACGGGUACGGGCCGGCGUCCGGCCGCGGCCGGAUCUAGAGAGGUCAGCCGUGAGGUGUCGCUGGCGUCCAGCCGCCGGAAGUAAUCGACGGUGGCAAAGCUGGAGUAUUCUUGCC